rnacentral:misc_RNA from 1 species
GAUGAAGAACGUAGCGAAAUGCGAUAAGUAAUGUGAAUUGCAGAAUUCAGUGAAUCAUCGAAUCUUUGAACGCACAUUGCGCCCCUUGGUAUUCCGAGGGGCAUGCCCGUUCGAGCGUCAUUAUACCCCUCAAGCCUAGCUUGGUGUUGGGGCCUGCUGUUACCGGCAGCCCUUAAAAUCAGUGGCGGUGCCAUCUGGCUCUAAGCGUAGUAAUACUUCUCGCUACAGGGUCCCGGUGGAUGCUUGCCAUCACCCCUAAUUUUCUAUGGUUGACCUCGGAUCGGGUAGGGAUACCCGCUGAACUUAAGCAUAUCAAUAAGCGGAGGA